AGGUAUCAGAAGUGCGAAUGCUGACAUAAGUAACGAUAAAGCGGGUGAAAAGCCCGCUCGCCGGAAGACCAAGGGUUCCUGUCCAACGUUAAUCGGGGCAGGGUGAGUCGACCCCUAAGGCGAGGCCGAAAGGCGUAGUCGAUGGGAAACAGGUUAAUAUUCCUGUACUUGGUGUUACUGCGAAGGGGGGACGGAGAAGGCUAUGUUAGCCGGGCGACGGUUGUCCCGGUUUAAGCAUGUAGGCGGAGGUUCCAGGUAAAUCCGGUACCUUUUAACGCUGAGGUGUGAUGACGAGGCACUACGGUGCUGAAGUAACAAAUGCCCUGCUUCCAGGAAAAGCCUCUAAGCAUCAGGUAACAUCAAAUCGUACCCCAAACCGACACAGGUGGUCAGGUAGAGAAUACCAAGGCGCUUGAGAGAACUCGGGUGAAGGAACUAGGCAAAAUGGUGCCGUAACUUCGGGAGAAGGCACGCUGAUAUGUAGGUGAAGCCCCUGCGGGUGGAGCUGAAAUCAGUCGAAGAUACCAGCUGGCUGCAACUGUUUAUUAAAAACACAGCACUGUGCAAACACGAAAGUGGACGUAUACGGUGUGACGCCUGCCCGGUGCCGGAAGGUUAAUUGAUGGGGUUAGCGGUAACGCGAAGCUCUUGAUCGAAGCCCCGGUAAACGGCGGCCGUAACUAUAACGGUCCUAAGGUAGCGAAAUUCCUUGUCGGGUAAGUUCCGACCUGCACGAAUGGCGUAAUGAUGGCCAGGCUGUCUCCACCCGAGACUCAGUGAAAUUGAACUCGCUGUGAAGAUGCAGUGUACCCGCGGCAAGACGGAAAGACCCCGUGAACCUUUACUAUAGCUUGACACUGAACACUGGUCCUUGAUGUGUAGGAUAGGUGGGAGGCUUUGAAGCGUGGACGCCAGUCUGCGUGGAGCCGUCCUUGAAAUACCACCCUUUAAUGGCUGGUGUUCUAACGUAGACCCGUAAUCCGGGUUGCGGACAGUGUCUGGUGGGUAGUUUGACUGGGGCGGUCUCCUCCCAAAGAGUAACGGAGGAGCACGAAGGUUAGCUAAUCCUGGUCGGACAUCAGGAGGUUAGUGCAAUGGCAUAAGCUAGCUUGACUGCGAGAGUGACGGCUCGAGCAGGUGCGAAAGCAGGUCAUAGUGAUCCGGUGGUUCUGAAUGGAAGGGCCAUCGCUCAACGGAUAAAAGGUACUCCGGGGAUAACAGGCUGAUACCGCCCAAGAGUUCAUAUCGACGGCGGUGUUUGGCACCUCGAUGUCGGCUCAUCACAUCCUGGGGCUGAAGUAGGUCCCAAGGGUAUGGCUGUUCGCCAUUUAAAGUGGUACGCGAGCUGGGUUUAGAACGUCGUGAGACAGUUCGGUCCCUAUCUGCCGUGGGCGCUGGAGAAUUGAGGGGGGCUGCUCCUAGUACGAGAGGACCGGAGUGGACGCAUCACUGGUGUUCGGGUUGUCAUGCCAAUGGCACUGCCCGGUAGCUAAAUGCGGAAGAGAUAAGUGCUGAAAGCAUCUAAGCACGAAACUUGCCCCGAGAUGAGUUCUCCCUGACUCCUUGAGAGUCCUGAAGGAACGUUAAAGACGAUGACGUUGAUAGGUCGGGUGUGUAAGCGCAGCGAUGCGUUGAGCUAACCGAUACUAAUGAACCGUGAGGCUUAACCUUA
rnacentral:rRNA from 1 species